GACCGUGGGGGGAAGGACUGGUACCGUAGGCUCAGAGGUUGUUAUUACAAUGAUGGCCACUGAUGUUUGAUUGGAUGCUAUGGAUUGACUGAUAAUGAUUGUAACAUUGAUUGGUCUGAGGCACGGAGUGACCGAGGAGGGAGGAUCCAGAACCAUGGGUUCAGAGGUUGAUAUUACAGUGAUGACCACUGAGAUGGUGGAACCGGUGUUAAGGCAAGGUUGGAUUUUGGCAGUGGUUGUGAGGCUCGUGUCUAUGAGACAACGGAUGCUAAUGGACAUCACUUUUACUAUUUUAGUUCUUCCUUUUUUAUGUAUAUAUAUAUAAAAUGUAUAGUAGGUAAUAUUGUAACAUGUGGUUGUUUAUAGACAUGGAAAUUUGUAUUAUACAAUUUAUCCUUUUAGUA